rnacentral:tRNA from 1 species
UUUAUAUAGUUUAAAUAAAAC